rnacentral:rRNA from 1 species
AUGACCUCGGAUCAGGUAGGGAUACCCGCUGAACUUAAGCAUAUCAAUAAGCGGAGGAAAAGAAACCAACANGUGGAUUACCUCAGUAACGGCGAUGAAGCNGA